GCAUAGGCUAAACUGCAGCUUAUGAUUGUCACUGAAUUAUAGAAGUUUUAUUUCAUGAAUAAACAUAAAUGAAUAUGUAUGAAAUGCCUCUAUUCCCUGCUACAAAACAUUUGCCUUUGAAGUCGCCACUUGGCUAGUUUGGAUCUGAGUUGAACAUUUAGCAAAAGUUAAAAUGUAAUGCCAAACUUCAUUGGUUGGAUUUUUUAUUAGAUAAGGUAGAAAUGAAAGCAGCAGGCAAUUUAAUUAGCAGUAAUUUUUCUGGGCAAGUCAUUACUUUGAUGAACUUCAGAGCAAUGUUUAUGGCUCCUAAUUAACCAUGUUAGUCAUUUGAUUGAAUAAUCACUUUGGAAAUGUUUCUACAAUUUGAUUAGAGUCUGACCCACUCUGAUGGUCAUAAAUUAACUGAUAUCACUUUAGGAUAACAUGACUUUAGUUACUUUAGGGAAAUAAACUCCUCUUAACCAUAUUUUUUUCAGGCUUCUCUUUUCUGUAUGAAGGAUGCUGAAUUUAAAGACAGACUGAAUUUAGACAAUGCAGCCAAGUGUCUCAAUUUCAAGAGCUAGAUGUUAAUUUUAUUUACCCUGAGGUGUAAUAAAUAGUAUAAGAUCUGGCAUAAACACAAAUAUAUUCUCAUAUAUGCAUUUUUUUUUUCUAAAUUGCUGUUUGAUGCUUU
rnacentral:lncRNA from 1 species